AUGCAGUGGGAUGAAGCAAUCCAUGGGUCUUAGGAAAAGAUAGGCAAUUAGUUGGAGUGAAGGACUUUUAAAUGGCCUUCCUCCAAAUACAAUUUUAAGUUUGUUCAUACUCUGCCAAUUUCAAAUGCAGCAAAAAAGGGAAGUGUUUAUGGAUUGAUAAUCACACGAAUAGCAAAGGAUGUUGGCAAAAGCAUGGCGAACCGGCAAGUCACAAAACGGCAAUGGACUCCGUUUUGGAGUCUU
rnacentral:sRNA from 1 species